CCCAGAGGACACGAGUGCUUAGCGAAAUGGCUUUGAAGCUUAUGAAGCUUGCCAAAAAGUUCUCUCUUGCUUCCAAUCUCAGGUUGUGUUAUUAAACCAGGUGACCACAAAGUACACCGAAGGCUCGUUUCAGUUAGCCCUUGCGUUAGGUGAUAGCUGGUCUCAUUCGUGUACCAACAGAGUGAUUCUGUAUUGGAACGGUGAUGAGCGUUAUGCGUAUAUCGACAAGUCCCCUUCACUUCCUUCGGCUUCCGCUUCGUACACUGUAACUAGUAGAGGUCUAAGAAACUCCUCAUCAAGUAGCAAGCGUGUCAAGAUGAUGUAAAGACACAACACAACACAACACAAGCACAUGGAGUACGCUUUCUACGGUCCAAUUUACUGCGUGUCAAGAUAUUAGAAGCACAUGACUACAUGAGUAAAGCUUUUCUACGGUCUAAUUUGCUGCGUGUCACGAUGAUGUAAAGACACAACACAAGCACGUGAGUAAGCUUUCUACGGUUUAGUUUUGAUUUUGAUUGAAGAGAGUGGUUUGACCGGUCAAUAUCAAAACCGGGAUAAGAGUUGGUGGAUUAGUGACUUA